CCUACGGGAGGCAGCAGUGGGGAAUAUUGGACAAGGGGGGGAACCCUGAUCCAGCCAUGCCGCGUGUGUGAAGAAGGCCCUCGGGUUGUAAAGCACUUUCAGUGAGGAAGAACGCCUGGUGGUUAAUACCCAUCAGGAAAGACAUCACUCACAGAAGAAGCACCGGCUAACUCCGUGCCAGCAGCCGCGGUAAUACGGAGGGUGCGAGCGUUAAUCGGAAUUACUGGGCGUAAAGCGCGCGUAGGUGGCUUGAUAAGCCGGUUGUGAAAGCCCCGGGCUCAACCUGGGAACGGCAUCCGGAACUGUCAAGCUAGAGUGCAGGAGAGGAAGGUAGAAUUCCCGGUGUAGCGGUGAAAUGCGUAGAGAUCGGGAGGAAUACCAGUGGCGAAGGCGGCCUUCUGGACUGACACUGACACUGAGGUGCGAAAGCGUGGGUAGCAAACAGGAUUAGAUACCCUAGUAGUC
rnacentral:rRNA from 1 species